CAACAUAGUGCGAAGAUUUGACUUUUGAAAUAAAACGCUCCGAAUUACAUUAAAACAUCAGAGUUAGAAUCAUCCGCAGACGUUACAGUAGCCCGCUCCUGGUAGCACAGGUAGCUAUUCCAGAUAGUACCGAUAGCUCUGCCAGGCAGCACGUGAGUUCUCAUGUUGGAGUUUAGAAAACUCUAUAAUGAUGCUUUUCCGUAGGUGAACCUGCUGAGGGAUCAUUAUAGAGUUUUCUAAACUCCCAAACCCAUGUGAACUUACCAUUGUUGCCUCGGCAGAGCCUACCCGGUACCUACCCUGGAACUAGCUACCCUGUAGCUACCCAGGAACGGGCUACCCUGUAACGUCCUGCCGGUGGACUUCUAAACUCUUGUUAUUUAUAGUAAUCUGAGCGUCUUAUUUUAAUAAGUCAAAACUUUCAACAACGGAUCUCUUGGUUCUGGCAUCGAUGAAGAACGCAGCGAAAUGCGAUAAGUAAUGUGAAUUGCAGAAUUCAGUGAAUCAUCGAAUCUUUGAACGCACAUUGCGCCCAUUAGUAUUCUAGUGGGCAUGCCUGUUCGAGCGUCAUUUCAACCCUUAAGCCUAGCUUAGUGUUGGGAAUCUGCUGUAUUGCAGUUCCUCAAAUACAACGGCGGAUCUGUAACAUCCUCUGAGCGUAGUAAAUUUUUAUCUCGCUUUUGUUAGGUGUUGCAGCUCUCAGCCGCUAAACCCCCCAAUUUUUGUGGUUGACCUCGGAUCAGGCAUGAAUACCCGCUGAACUUAAGCAUAUCAAUAACCGGAGGAAAGAAUCAUUAUAGAGUUUUCUAAACUCCAACAUGAGAAAUUCACAUUGUUGCUCGGCAGAGCUACCGGUACUACCUGGAACUAGCUACCUGUGCUACCAGGACGGGCUACUGUAACGUCUGCGGAGACUACAAAUCUUGAUCAUUUAAGUUAAUCGGAGCUUCAUAUUCAGAAAACGUCAAUUCAUGCACCUAGGGGUGUGCG
rnacentral:rRNA from 1 species